AAUAUACAGCAGCAAGCGUUCACGCACAGCGUUAGAAUCGUGUUGGGGUGCUGUUUGGGGGGGGGUGCAGGAGGUGCAUUGAGAACCAUGUAUUCUCAGCAGAGGGAGCAAAGCACUUUCUCCCAGGGCUUAGUUUCCCACUUGUUCUUUGUGUGUGAGAGCAUGAGGGAGAUUAAAAGAUUGGAUUGGUAGUCUGUUACUGAAAACCUUCCUCACAGGAAAGAAAAAUGGGAUUAUUUUCCCUCUCUUGGGGCUUUAAAACUCUGGCUCUCACCAGGGCUUUGUGAUUAAUGGACGUGACAAAGUUUGCACUCCAGGAUCGGUUUUUAAUGAAGCUAUUCUCAGGUUCGGUUGCCUCUCUCUCUGUGUAAUGCCCCCAAAUUGAACUCAUAGGUUACUUCACUAGACCGAUUUGUUAGCUCAGGUCUUUGCAGGGGAGGGGGGAGUCCCUGGUGUUUGGAGGUCAGUGUUGAUCCCAAGGCUGCUGACUCAGCGGUUGCAUUAUAUCUGUGACCUCCUUCGCGCUGCGUGUGCCCUGCAGCCUGCAGCAGGGGUUCUUUUACCGCUGGAACAUAACAAUUCGGACAAACUGUCAGGCUGCGGAGGUGACCGUCGAGAGGAUACAGCUGACACCUUUGAUUUUCCCUUCCCUUCAAGAAAGGUUGAUAAAGCAACGAAACGAAAGAAGCAAAAGGUAUAAAAUGUGAGAGUUGAAUGAGCUGCCUUUGCAUCUAAGAAAAUAGUUUCCCACUUGUUCUUUGUGUGUGAGAGCAUGAGGGAGAUUAAAAGAUUGGAUUGGUAGUCUGAUACUGAAAACCUUCCUCACAGGAAAGAAAAAUGGGAUUAUUUUCCCUCUCUUGGGGCUUUAAAACUCUGGCUCUCAUUCAGUAAAGCACUUAAGUAUGCGCUUACCUUGAAGAGUGAGAGUAAUCUAUUGACUUUAAGCAUGUACUGAAAUGCUUUGCUGGAUUGGGGCCAGAGAGCUCCACAUCUCGCUGGGUGAAACCCGGCAGGGAAAAGCUCUGCUGCUUCUCUUUCUCUUCAGUUUAUUUUGAGCAAAGAAAGUCCACAGGUUACAAAUAACGAAGGAAAGAGUAAUAGGAAUUAUCUCUAAACUAGCAGCAAUAUGGAAUUACCCUUUCCUAAAUGUAUUUCUGUUCUUGUUCAGUAGUUCAACAAAAGCUUGAAAUUUAAAAAGGCACAUUCAUUAAAAAAGUAACUUGUUAUGAGAUUUUGUAAUGUGUGAAGUACAAGUAAUCAGCUAGACUAUAAUACAGAAAUGUCACAGAUACUUGAUUUAAAACUAGCAAAAUACUACUGACUUCAGAGGAACAGCUAAUAACACACUCUAAUAUUGCUCUUCUAGUUCAUUAAAUAGUCUUCAAAAAGAACGAGGAAUAUGUUUUGUGUUUUAGCAAUAAAUGUCCAUGAGAAAGAAAUCCUUUAGAUUUA
rnacentral:lncRNA from 1 species